UACGGGGGGGGCAAGCGUUGUUCGGAAUUACUGGGCGUAAAGGGCUCGUAGGCGGCCAACUAAGUCAUACGUGAAAUCCCUCGGCUUAACCGGGGAACUGCGUCUGAUACUGGAUGGCUUGAGUUCGGGAGAGGGAUGCGGAAUUCCAGGUGUAGCGGUGAAAUGCGUAGAUAUCUGGAGGAAUACCGGUGGCGAAGGCGACUUCCUGGACCAAUACUGACGCUCAGGUGCGAAAGCGUGGGGAGCAAACAGG
rnacentral:rRNA from 1 species